UAGGGAAUAUUGGGCAAUGGGCGCAAGCCUGACCCAGCCAUGCCGCGUGCAGGAAGACGGCCUUACGGGUUGUAAACUGCUUUUCUUGGGGACGACAAGGUUCUUGCAAGGACGCCUGACGGUACCCAAGGAAUAAGCAUCGGCUAACUCCGUGCCAGCAGCCGCGGUAAUACGGAGGAUGCAAGCGUUGUCCGGAUUUAUUGGGUUUAAAGGGUGCGUAGGCGGGUGAUUAAGUCUGAGUUAAAAGGCUACGGCUCAACCGUAGUAGGGCUUGGUUACUGGUCAUCUUGAGGAUAUUGGAGGUUGAUGGAAUUAGUAGAGUAGCGGUGAAAUGCAUAGAUACUACUAGGAACGCCAAUUGCGAAGGCAGUCAACUACGAUAUUACUGACGCUGAGGCACGAAAGCGUGGGGAGCGAACAGGAUUAGAUACCCGCGUAGUCC
rnacentral:rRNA from 1 species